rnacentral:misc_RNA from 1 species
GAAAUGCGAUAAGUAGUGUGAAUUGCAGAAUUCAGUGAAUCAUCGAAUCUUUGAACGCACAUUGCGCCCUUUGGUAUUCCUUAGGGCAUGCCUGUUCGAGCGUCAUCUAAACCCUCAAGCCCUGCUUGGUGUUGGGUGCCUGUCCCGCCCCCGUGCGCGGACUCACCUCAAAUCCAUUGGCGGCCCUCGUGCCGGCCCCGAGCGCAGCAGAAACGCGGUCUCGUGGCCCGGCGGAGCGUGCCCCCAGAAGCAACAUUCACCGUUUUGACCUCGGAUCAGGUAGGGAUACCCGCUGAACUUAAGC